rnacentral:rRNA from 1 species
UACGUAGGGGGCAAGCGUUAUCCGGAUUUACUGGGUGUAAAGGGAGCGUAGACGGCGAUGCAAGCCAGAUGUGAAAGCCCGGGGCUCAACCCCGGGACUGCAUUUGGAACUGUAUAGCUAGAGUGUCGGAGAGGCAGGCGGAAUUCCUAGUGUAGCGGUGAAAUGCGUAGGUAUUAGGAGGAACACCAGUGGCGAAGGCGGCCUGCUGGACGAUGACUGACGUUGAGGCUCGAAAGCGUGGGGAGCAAACAGG